rnacentral:rRNA from 5 species
GGGGACGCUUACCACUUUGUGGUUCAUGACUGGGGUGAAGUCGUAACAAGGUAGCGCUAGGGGAACCUGGCGCUGGAUCACCUCCUUAAACGAUGAU